rnacentral:lncRNA from 1 species
CUCUCUCUCUCUCUAAUCUUCUUCACCUCCUUUUCCACUUCUUUCUCUGCACUUUCUUGAAGAAACCCUACCUCAAAACCCUCUCCUCCCUCGUUCUUCAAACUCCGGCGACUGGAUUGGCUGCCAGUCGCCCUAUAUCUCCGAUGGGUUACCCACAACAUCCCCAAAUCCUCCUUCUUGUUGUACUGUUUCAACCACAACCAACUGAUCUAGAGGAUAAUUGACAAAGAGAGUGAGAUCGGGAGAAAGGAGAGAGCCGCCGCACGCGGCGGCGGCGUCGGCGAUGUGGUUUCACAGCUGUGACGAAGAGAAGCAGGAGAGCUGCUGAAGAUGAUCAAUGAUGUUAAUGGCGAUUGACGGCGUUGAAGACGGAGGUGGUUGACGGAACCAGAUUGAUUCUAUUGAAUGUAGUUAUGUAGGAUUUAUGUUGAUUGCAAUCGUUAAUGGUGAUGGAUGGGAGAACAGGUGGGUUAAAUCUGACUGGAAGAAAGAUGAGAACAUGGCAGGUCGUUGGCGGUGACGGUGGAGGAGGGUGAUGGUGGGUGGAGGUUGAAGAUGAAGUGUGGUGGUGGGGUUUUUCUCUAAAAAUGAAGAAGAUGCCCGGAUAGUCCCUGUGGUUUGGCCUUUUAAAGGAAAGGGUAAAUUGGUCAUUUCACACCCACUUAACAGAGAAAACAAACUGAAGUUAGACCCAGGGACUAUCCGAGAACAAAAAAUGAAAAGUUGGGGACUAUUCAGGUAGUUUUAGAAAGUUGGGGACUAUAGGUGAAAAAAUGCGAAACCACAGGGACUAUCCGGGCAUUU